CCAUACGACAUCGAGACACCGGUUCUCGUACGAUCUACGAAGUUAAGCAACAUCGACCUGGCCAGUACCUAGAUAAGUGACCGCUUGGGAAUACCAGGUGUUGUAAG